rnacentral:rRNA from 1 species
ACUCCUACGGGAGGCAGCAGUGGGGAAUAUUGCACAAUGGGGAAACCCUGAUGCAGCCAUGCCGCGUGUGUGAAGAAGGCCUUCGGUUGUAAAGCACUUCAGUAGGGAGGAAGGUAGUGUAGUUAACACCUGCACUAUUUGACGUUACCUACAGAAGAAGCACCGGCUAACUCCGUGCCAGCAGCCGCGGUAAUACGGAGGGGUGCGAGCGUUAAUCGGAAUUACUGGGCGUAAAGCGCAUGCAGGCGGCCUGUUAAGUCAGAUGUGAAAGCCCGGGGGCUUAACCUCGGAAUUGCAUUUGAAACUGGCAGGCUAGAGUCUUGUAGAGGGGGUAGAAUUUCAGGUGUAGCGGUGAAAUGCGUAGAGAUCUGAAGGAAUACCAGUGGCGAAGGCGGCCCCCUGGACAAAGACUGACGCUCAGAUGCGAAAGCGUGGGGAGCAAACAGGAUUAGAUACCCUGGUAGCACAGAGAG